UGCAAUAAGGAAAAUAGAGAUCUGUGCA
rnacentral:piRNA from 1 species